AGCCUCGUAGCUUAGUUGGAUAGAGCACUCGCCUUCUACGAAGUUCGCUCCGGGAGUGAGCGAGAGGUCGCGGGUUCGAAACCCGCCGGGGCUG
rnacentral:tRNA from 1 species